rnacentral:rRNA from 1 species
GACGAAGGGGGCUAGCGUUGUUCGGAAUUACUGGGCGUAAAGAGCGCGUAGGCGGUUUGGUAAGUUGGAAGUGAAAGCCCGGGGCUUAACCUCGGAAUUGCUUUCAAAACUACCAGGCUAGAGUGUAGUAGGGGAUGAUGGAAUUCCUAGUGUAGAGGUGAAAUUCUUAGAUAUUAGGAGGAACACCGGUGGCGAAGGCGGUCAUCUGGGCUACAAC